rnacentral:rRNA from 1 species
GGGUUGUGAGGUUAAGCGACUAAGCGUACACGGUGGAUGCCCUGGCAGUCAGAGGCGAUGAAGGGCGUGCUAAUCUGCGAUAAGCGCCGGUAAGGUGAUAUGAACCGUUAUAACCGGCGAUACCCGAAUGGGGAAACCCAGUGUGAUUCGUCACACUAUCAUUAACUGAAUCCAUAGGUUAAUGAGGCGAACCGGGGGAACUGAAACAUCUAAGUACCCCGAGGAAAAGAAAUCAACCGAGAUUCCCCCAGUAGCGGCGAGCGAACGGGGAGGAGCCCAGAGCCUGAAUCAGCAUGUGUGUUAGUGGAAGCGUCUGGAAAGGCGCGCGAUACAGGGUGACAGCCCCGUACACAAAAGCGCAUGUGCUGUGAGCUCGAUGAGUAGGGCGGGACACGUGGUAUCCUGUCUGAAUAUGGGGGGACCAUCCUCCAAGGCUAAAUACUCCUGACUGACCGAUAGUGAACCAGUACCGUGAGGGAAAGGCGAAAAGAACCCCGGCGAGGGGAGUGAAAAAGAACCUGAAACCGUGUACGUACAAGCAGUGGGAGCACAGGUUUACCUGUGUGACUGCGUACCUUUUGUAUAAUGGGUCAGCGACUUAUAUUCUGUAGCAAGGUUAACCGAAUAGGGGAGCCGGAGGGAAACCGAGUCUUAAUUGGGCGUUAAGUUGCAGGGUAUAGACCCGAAACCCGGUGAUCUAGCCAUGGGCAGGUUGAAGGUUGGGUAACACUAACUGGAGGACCGAACCGACUAAUGUUGAAAAAUUAGCGGAUGACCUGUGGCUGGGGGUGAAAGGCCAAUCAAACCGGGAGAUAGCUGGUUCUCCCCGAAAGCUAUUUAGGUAGCGCCUCGUGAAUUCAUCUCCGGGGGUAGAGCACUGUUUCGGCUAGGGGGCCAUCCCGGCUUACCAACCCGAUGCAAACUGCGAAUACCGGAGAAUGUUAUCACGGGAGACACACGGCGGGUGCUAACGUCCGUCGUGAAGAGGGAAACAACCCAGACCGCCAGCUAAGGUCCCAAAGUCAUGGUUAAGUGGGAAACGAUGUGGGAAGGCCCAGACAGCCAGGAUGUUGGCUUAGAAGCAGCCAUCAUUUAAAGAAAGCGUAAUAGCUCACUGGUCGAGUCGGCCUGCGCGGAAGAUGUAACGGGGCUAAACCAUGCACCGAAGCUGCGGCAGCGANNGUUGGGUAGGGGAGCGUUCUGUAAGCCUGUGAAGGUGGCCUGUGAGGGUUGCUGGAGGUAUCAGAAGUGCGAAUGCUGACAUAAGUAACGAUAAAGCGGGUGAAAAGCCCGCUCGCCGGAAGACCAAGGGUUCCUGUCCAACGUUAAUCGGGGCAGGGUGAGUCGACCCCUAAGGCGAGGCCGAAAGGCGUAGUCGAUGGGAAACGGGUUAAUAUUCCCGUACUUGGUGUUACUGCGAAGGGGGGACGGAGAAGGCUAUGUUGGCCGGGCGACGGUUGUCCCGGUUUAAGCGUGUAGGUGUGUGUUCCAGGUAAAUCCGGUUCACUUUAACACUGAGGCGUGAUGACGAGGCACUACGGUGCUGAAGUAACAAAUGCCCUGCUUCCAGGAAAAGCCUCUAAGCAUCAGGUAACAUCAAAUCGUACCCCAAACCGACACAGGUGGUCAGGUAGAGAAUACCAAGGCGCUUGAGAGAACUCGGGUGAAGGAACUAGGCAAAAUGGUGCCGUAACUUCGGGAGAAGGCACGCUGACACGUAGGUGAAGUGAUUUACUCACGGAGCUGAAGUCAGUCGAAGAUACCAGCUGGCUGCAACUGUUUAUUAAAAACACAGCACUGUGCAAACACGAAAGUGGACGUAUACGGUGUGACGCCUGCCCGGUGCCGGAAGGUUAAUUGAUGGGGUCAGCGCAAGCGAAGCUCCUGAUCGAAGCCCCGGUAAACGGCGGCCGUAACUAUAACGGUCCUAAGGUAGCGAAAUUCCUUGUCGGGUAAGUUCCGACCUGCACGAAUGGCGUAAUGAUGGCCAGGCUGUCUCCACCCGAGACUCAGUGAAAUUGAACUCGCUGUGAAGAUGCAGUGUACCCGCGGCAAGACGGAAAGACCCCGUGAACCUUUACUAUAGCUUGACACUGAACAUUGAGCCUUGAUGUGUAGGAUAGGUGGGAGGCUUUGAAGNNNNNNNNCCGGGUUGCGGACAGUGUCUGGUGGGUAGUUUGACUGGGGCGGUCUCCUCCUAAAGAGUAACGGAGGAGCACGAAGGUUGGCUAAUCCUGGUCGGACAUCAGGAGGUUAGUGCAAUGGCAUAAGCCAGCUUGACUGCGAGCGUGACGGCGCGAGCAGGUGCGAAAGCAGGUCAUAGUGAUCCGGUGGUUCUGAAUGGAAGGGCCAUCGCUCAACGGAUAAAAGGUACUCCGGGGAUAACAGGCUGAUACCGCCCAAGAGUUCAUAUCGACGGCGGUGUUUGGCACCUCGAUGUCGGCUCAUCACAUCCUGGGGCUGAAGUAGGUCCCAAGGGUAUGGCUGUUCGCCAUUUAAAGUGGUACGCGAGCUGGGUUUAGAACGUCGUGAGACAGUUCGGUCCCUAUCUGCCGUGGGCGCUGGAGAACUGAGGGGGGCUGCUCCUAGUACGAGAGGACCGGAGUGGACGCAUCACUGGUGUUCGGGUUGUCAUGCCAAUGGCACUGCCCGGUAGCUAAAUGCGGAAGAGAUAAGUGCUGAAAGCAUCUAAGCACGAAACUUGCCCCGAGAUGAGUUCUCCCUGAGACUUUAGGUCUCCUGAAGGAACGUUGAAGACGACGACGUUGAUAGGCCGGGUGUGUAAGCGCAGCGAUGCGUUGAGCUAACCGGUACUAAUGAACCGUGAGGCUUAACCUUACAACGCCGAAG